UACAGAGGUCUCAAGCGUUUGUUCGGAUUCAUUGGGCGUAAAGGGUGCGUAGGUGGCGCCAUAAGUCGGGUGUGAAAUCUCGGGGCUUAACUCCGAAACUGCAUUCGAUACUGGCGUGCUUGAGGACUGGAGAGGAGACUGGAAUUCAUGGUGUAGCAGUGAAAUGCGUAGAGAUCAUGAGGAAGACCAGUGGCGAAGGCGGGUCUCUGGACAGUUCCUGACACUGAGACACGAAGGUCAGGGGAGGCAAACGGG
rnacentral:rRNA from 1 species